ACCCGAUUGCUACAUACGAUUGGCG
rnacentral:siRNA from 1 species